rnacentral:misc_RNA from 1 species
AGGGUAGCUAGGGCACAGAGUCAG